rnacentral:rRNA from 1 species
AUUGAACGCUGGCGGCAUGCCUUACACAUGCAAGUCGAACGGCAGCACGGGAGCAAUCCUGGUGGCGAGUGGCGAACGGGUGAGUAAAGUAUCGGAACGUGCCCAGUCGUGGGGGAUAACGUAGCGAAAGUUACGCUAAUACCGCAUACGAUCUAUGGAUGAAAGCGGGGGAUCGCAAGACCUCGCGCGAUUGGAGCGGCCGAUAUCAGAUUAGGUAGUUGGUGGGGUAAAGGCUCACCAAGCCGACGAUCUGUAGCUGGUCUGAGAGGACGACCAGCCACACUGGGACUGAGACACGGCCCAGACUCCUACGGGAGGCAGCAGUGGGGAAUUUUGGACAAUGGGCGCAAGCCUGAUCCAGCCAUGCCGCGUGCAGGAUGAAGGCCUUCGGGUUGUAAACUGCUUUUGUACGGAACGAAAAGGUUUGGCUUAAUACGUUGAACUCAUGACGGUACCGUAAGAAUAAGCACCGGCUAACUACGUGCCAGCAGCCGCCGUAA